UACGUAGGGGGCGAGCGUUGUCCGGAAUGAUUGGGCGUAAAGGGCGCGUAGGUGGCCAUGCAAGUCUGGAGUGGAAGUCCAUUUUUCAAGGGUGGAAUUGCUUUGGAAACUGCGUGGCUGGAGUGCAGGAGAGGUUAUCGGAAUUCCCGGUGUAGCGGUGAAAUGCGUAGAGAUCGGGAGGAACACCAGUGGCGAAGGCGGGUAACUGGACUGCAACUGACGCUGAGGCGCGAAAGUGUGGGGAGCAAACAGGAUUAGAUACCCUGGUAGU
rnacentral:rRNA from 1 species